GAUGAACGCUGGCGGCGUGUCUAAUACAUGCAAGUCGAGCGAACUGAUUAGAAGCUUGCUUCUAUGACGUUAGCGGCGGACGGGUGAGUAACUCGUGGACAACCUGCCUGUAAGACUGGGAUAACUCCGGGAAACCGAAGCUAAUACCGGAUAGGAUCUUCUCCUUCAUGGGAGAUGAUUGAAAGAUGGUUUCGGCUAUCACUUACAGAUGGGCCCGCGGUGCAUUAGCUAGUUGGUGAGGUAACGGCUCACCAAGGCAACGAUGCAUAGCCGACCUGAGAGGGUGAUCGGCCACACUGGGACUGAGACACGGCCCAGACUCCUACGGGAGGCAGCAGUAGGGAAUCGUCCGCAAUGGACGAAAGUCUGACGGAGCAACGCCGCGUGAGUGAUGAAGGCUUUCGGGUCGUAAAACUCUGUUGUUAGGGAAGAACAAGUAUGAGAGUAACUGCUCGUACCUUGACGGUACCUAACCAGAAAGCCACGGCUAACUACGUGCCAGCAGCCGCCGUAAAAC
rnacentral:rRNA from 1 species